ACCAUUAACCCCCAUCCCAGGAGCAGAGCGGGGGAAACCCGGUGCUAUCUUGGAUAAAUACGCUGCCUUGCAUGACAUGAAAAAGCAACACAGCAGAGAGACGGCACCUUAGACGCCUGCAUCAAAGGAGCUGAGCGUUGGCGGGAGGACGGCGAGGAAGUUGGAACGUAUACUGUGGCCUGGAGUCAUCACGGGAAAAGAACACCAAGAACAUGUUCUGUCUGAGUUUUCUAAUCAGUCAGUCAGCUCUUCCUGAGUGGCCGAUGGGCCGGUGACAAAACAGUACUGUGUGGAAGCUCAAUAGUUAGAUUACAUUCAGGAUUUGUACAUAUUUAUGUUUUCAUCUGUAAGCCUAAUUGUUUCCUCCAUGUGGUGGAGCUGCCCUGUGUGUUCGUAUGCCCAGCUCCCUAGUGUGAGUGAGUGGCUGGAUAGCAUUCAGUGCUAAUGAACUCAUUAGCUCAUAGGUAAUGAGAUCAGGAUCACAGAUGCUUAGCAGUUCCUAGCGCCAGUCUGCUAUUGUCAUGAUGAAUCACUGGGGAGCUUAAUGCACUGCCUCACUCCAUGACUGAGACAUCAUGGUGUGUGUGUGUGUGUGUGUGUGUGUGAGGUGCAUCUACCCUAAAUGGGGUUGUUUUCCUGAGUGCUCUGGUGAUGUCCUAAUCCAUCCAUUACUUUCCACAGAGUUUCCAAGGUUGGAUGAUCUUCUCUGCCCCUGGCUCCUGGUGGCCCCAGCCUCGGCUCCUGUUUUCAGUCACUCAUCCCCCACCUGGCCCCUUUGUCCCUGGGUGUAAUUGCCCUUGCAGACUCUGGAGUAACCGUUGUCUGAGGGCACAAAACCCGUCUCUCAGUGUGUCUGCAGAGCUCUGGGGUCAAAAGGACACUUCAAGAGGAGCUAUUUCAGCUCUCCUCACCCAUCCUCUAACCCAACAAUGGGGAAAUACCUGGGAAAAGCAAUUAUUUGCUCUCAUAUCUGUCUUCCAGCUUUUCAUAUGAUUUUUCCUCUGCAGAACUUUGCGCUAAAGAAAGUUUGUCACCUGCUAAACCUCCUUAGGGAGAUUGAGCUCAAAUGGCCCAGGUCUUUUCUUUUGGCCUCUCAAUGUUCAGUCACCUAACAUGUUUUCCUCAUCUCCAAUCUAAUGUGUUUACCCCCCCCCCCACACUUUUCUUAAAUGAUUUCCAUUAAAAGUGAGAGUGACUGUAAAUUCACAUUCACUUUUUGUGGUGGGAUGACAACUCUUUCUGUUUGAAUAGCUGCAUGUUAAACAGUAUGUUUUCAUGUUCAUUUUGUCAUCUUCAACUUUUUGCAGUGUACCAAACAUGAUCCGAUCCACUUCAAUUAACGUUAAAGCACUGCUUUGAAAACCACAACCUGUGUCCUUUGGGUAAACUACGUUUUUUUUCGAGAUGUACUGAAAGACAAGACUGAUCCAAUGGCAUUGAACUCCACCUGGAGAACACUCUUACGGCAUAACACCUGGGACCUGCACCUGAAAAAGAACAUAGGUCAUACAAACAGCAUGACCUUUUAACAUGGAUGUGUAUUUAUCUAACCAGGUCAUGUGCAGAAAACAUAUCUAUUAAGCAUUCUUCUCUAUUGAGGAGGGAGGCAUGACAAGAAUGCUUAAUUGAAAUGUUUUCGUACAUGACCUGGUUGGAUAAAUAACGUCUAAUUAGAUAAACACUCAAGAAAUCAGAGAGAUCUACGACGUGACUGAGUGGAUCACCUACAGUAUGAGACAAACAGGUGGAACAGGUACGCAGGUGAUCCUUCUGGUUGUCAUGGUAACCAGGGGUCUGGACAGACACUCAGAGAGGCUCCUCCUGACCUGGAGAGACAGGUGUGAUGGUGUUAACACGGAAGCUGGGAGCUGAGGAGUCUUCAUUAGGAUGAGGUCACGGAGGCUCUGAUUGGGUGGGAG